CAAAUUACCCAAUCCCAACUCAGGGAGGUAGUGACAAGAAAUAACAAUGCGGAGCCACAGGUUCUGCAAUUGGAAUGAGUACAAUUUAAACCACUUAACGAGUACCUAUUGGAGGGCAAGUCUGGUGCCAGCAGCCGCGGUAAUUCCAGCUCCAAUAGCGUAUAUGUAAGUUGUUGCGAUUAAAAAGCCCGUAGCUGAACCUCGGGCAGCCCUGACGGUCAACCAAUCGGUGCGUACUGUCGUGGGCUGCCUUUCUGCUGGGGACCGUAUCCUUGCAUUCACUUGCCGGGAACGGGACCUAGCAAGGUUACUUUGAGUAAAAUAGAGUGUUCAAAGCAAGCUAUCGCUCUGAAUACACUAGCAUGGGAUAACACGACAUGACCGAUGGUCUAUCUUGUUGGCCUGUAGACCCGUUGGUAAUGGCUAAUAGGGACGGUCGGGGGCAUUCGUAUUUCGCUGUCAGAGGUGAAAUUCUUGGAUUUGCGAAAGACGAACUACUGCGAAAGCAUUUGUCAAGGACGCUUUCAUUAGUCAAGGACGAAAGUCGGGGGAUCGAAGACGAUUAGAUACCGUCGUAGUCUCGACCAUAAACGAUGCCAAUUAGGGAUCGGAGGGUGGUAAUCUUAUGCCUCCUCCGGCACCUUCCGCGAAAGCAAAAUGUAUGGGCUUCGGGGGGAGUAUGGUCGCAAGGCUGAAACUUAAAGGAAUUGACGGAACGGCACCACCAGGCGUGGAGCCUGCGGCUUAAUUUGACUCAACACGGGAAAACUUACCAGGUCCAGACAAAAUUAGGAUUUACAGAUUGAUAGCUCUUUAAAGAUUUUUUGGAUGGUGGUGCAUGGCCGUUCUUAGUUCGUGGAUUGAUUUGUCAGGUUGAUUCCGGUAACGGACGAGACCCCAACCUACUAACUACGCUCCAGCUGAUUCCCAGCUGGCUAGCUUCUUAGAGGGACUCUCGGUGUUGAGCCGAUGGAGGUGGGGCAAUAACAGGUCUGUGAUGCCCUUAGAUGUCCUGGGCCGCACGCGCGCUACACUGAUGCAUUCAACGAGCCUACCCUUGGCCGAGAGGUCUGGGUAAUCUGCGAAACUGCAUCGUGAUGGGGCUAGAUUAUUGCAAUUAUUGAUCUUCAACGAGGAAUGCCUAGUAAGCGCGAGUCAUCAACUCGCGUUGAUUACGUCCCUGCCGUUUGUACACACCGCCCGUCGCUCCUACCGAUUGGGUGUGCUGGUGAAAUGUCCGGAUUGGGCGGCUCCCCGGUUUCCGGGGUACUGCUCGAGAAGCUCAUUGAACCCUCUCACCUAGAGGAAGGAGAAGUCGUAACAAGGUCU
rnacentral:rRNA from 1 species